ncrna:Carica papaya miR164d stem-loop (cpa-MIR164d)
UGGAGAAGGGGAGCACGUGCAAUGCAGGUGUCAAUAUCUAGCCUUUGCACGUGCCCUGCUUCUCCAAC